rnacentral:rRNA from 1 species
AACUAACGCUGGCGGCGUGCCUAACACAUGCAAGUCGUACGAGAAAGUUGGCUUCGGCCGAUGAGUACAGUGGCGCACGGGUGAGUAACGCGUGGAUAAUCUGCCCUUAAGUGUGGAAUAACGUACCGAAAGGUGCGCUAAUACCGCAUAAUGCCUGGCAACAUAAGUUGUCCGGCCAAAGAAGGCCUCUGCUUGCAAGCUUUCGCUAAAGGAUGAGUCCGCGUACCAUUAGCUAGUUGGUGGGUAACGCCUACCAAGGCGACGAUGGUUAGCUGGUCUGAGAGGAUGAUCAGCCACACUGGAACUGAGACACGGUCCAGACUCCUACGGGAGCAGCAGUGAGGAAUAUUGCGCAAUGGGGCAACCCUGACGCAGCAACGCCGCGUGAGUGAGGAAGGUUUUCGGACUGUAAAGCUCUGUCGAGCGGGAAGAAGUGUACCAUGGCUAAUAUCCAUGAUAUUUGACGUACCG